GCGGAUAAUGUCUACAUUUUUAUACAUUUUGUUUAUAGUUAUAUGGUACACAUUUUUAGGCUUCAUUUUCAGCAUAAAAAUCCGCAGUCUA